rnacentral:rRNA from 1 species
UGAGGAAUAUUGCGCAAUGGGGGCAACCCUGACGCAGCAACGCCGCGUGAGUGAGGAAGGUUUUCGGACCGUAAAGCUCUGUCGAGCGGGAAGAAAUGUAUCGUGGCUAAUAUCCAUGAUAUUUGACGGUACCGCUAAAGGGAGCACCGGCUAACUCCGUGCCAGCAGCCGCGGUAAUACGGGGGGUGCAAGCGUUGUUCGGAAUUAUUGGGCGUAAAGAGCGUGUAGGCGGUUUGUUAAGUCUGAUGUGAAAGCCCCGGGCGCAACCGGGGAAGUGAAUUGGAAACUGGCAGACUUGAAUACGGGAGAGGGUAGUGGAAUUCCUGGUGUAGGAGUGAAAUCUGUAGAUACCAGGAGGAACACAGGUGGCGAAGGCGGCUGUCUGGACCGAUAUUGACGCUGAGACGCGAAAGCGUGGGUAGCAAAUA